UACGUAGGGUGCAAGCGUUAUUCGGAAUUACUGGGCGUAAAGCGUGCGCAGGCGGCGAUGUAAGACAGUUGUGAAAUCCCCGGGCUCAACCUGGGAACUGCAUCUGUGACUGCAUCGCUGGAGUACGGUAGAGGGAGACGGAAUUCCGCGUGUAGCAGUGAAAUGCGUAGAUAUGCGGAGGAACACCGAUGGCGAAGGCGAUCCCCUGGACCGGUACUGACGCUCAUGCACGAAAGCGUGGGGAGCAAACAGG
rnacentral:rRNA from 1 species